rnacentral:rRNA from 1 species
UCCUACGGGAGGCAGCAGUGGGGAAUAUUGGACAAUGGGGGCAACCCUGAUCCAGCCAUGCCGCGUGUGUGAAGAAGGCCCUCGGGUUGUAAAGCACUUUCAGCGAGGAAGAACGCCUAGCGGUUAAUACCCGCUAGGAAAGACAUCACUCGCAGAAGAAGCACCGGCUAACUCCGUGCCAGCAGCCGCGGUAAUACGGAGGGUGCAAGCGUUAAUCGGAAUUACUGGGCGUAAAGCGCGCGUAGGUGGCUUGAUAAGCCGGUUGUGAAAGCCCCGGGCUCAAUCUGGGAACGGCAUCCGGAACUGUCAAGCUAGAGUGCAGGAGAGGAAGGUAGAAUUCCCGGUGUAGCGGUGAAAUGCGUAGAGAUCGGGAGGAAUACCAGUGGCGAAGGCGGCCUUCUGGACUGACACUGACACUGAGGUGCGAAAGCGUGGGUAGCAAACAGGAUUAGAUACCCUGGUAGUCCACGCCGUAAACGAUGUCGACCAGCCGUUGGGUGCCUAGCGCACUUUGUGGCGAAGUUAACGCGAUAAGUCGACCGCCUGGGGAGUACGGCCGCAAGGUUAAAACUCAAAUGAAUUGACGG